rnacentral:rRNA from 1 species
UUGACCUCGGAUCAGGUAGGAUUACCCGCUGAACUUAAGCAUAUCAAUAAGCGGAGGAAAAGAAACCAACAGGGAUUGCCCCAGUAACGGCGAGUGAAGCGGCAACAGCUCANAUUUGGAAUCUGGCCUUCGGGCCCGAGUUGUAAUCUGGAGAGGAUGCUUCUGGCGCGGUGCCUUCCGAGUUCCCUGGAACGGGACGCCGGAGAGGGUGAGAGCCCCGUACGGUUGGACACCUAGCCUCUGUUAAACUCCUUCGACGAGUCAGGUAGUUUGGGAAUGCUGCUCAAAAUGGGAGGUAAAUUUCUUCUAAAGCUAAAUAUUGCCCAGAGACCGAUAGCGCACAAGUAGAGUGAUCGAAAGAUGAAAAGCACUUUGAAAAGAGAGUUAAAAAGUACGUGAAAUUGUUGAAAGGGAAG